CACCAUAUAUUGCAAAUAUAAACUUCCUUGCUGAGGUUUGAGAGAUGCAUUAAAAUAGGGAUCUAAAGUGAAGUCAUAGGAGCCAGUUUAAUACUGUGUGCAUUUAGAAGAAUGAGAAUAGUAGCGUCUUCAUCACAAUCUUGUCCUAAAGAAUAAUAAUCUAUUAGUUAUCCAUCUAUCAAUAAAUGUUAGGCAAUCUAUUACAGGGAUCUUAUGAUUGUCAUCAUAUUUAUUGCAUUCAUAUGUUCCAUCAGAUAAUCAUGGGCUCCUGUAUAUUCUGAUUAGACUGUCAUUCUACAUGAUCAUUUUCGUGCUCAUUUUCCUCAUCCAUUCUUGGUGCCAUGCAAAAAGGAAUGUACAGCAGGAAGAAGGCAAUGAGUGUCAUCUGAGUAGCAUGAGAAACUGAACCUGGAGGAAUACAGGACCCUGAAGGAAAAUAAAUGCAGAAUGUGACAUGCACAGAAUUUGAUCAGUGGAUCUUCAAAAAGCAAUUUAUCAGGACCAGCUCCUCACAGCCCAAGGAAGCCUCCACGCAUAUCAGUGUGUGCAUGGGAGUUAUGAAAUGACAAGCUGAGAUCAAAGAUUGUUGGUACCCUAUGAGUUCUCAAAGAAAGAUAUGAGGAAUUCUUCUGUAAAGACCACAGCUCUUUUGGAAGCAAAAAUUAAUAGACGCAGUGAAAGAAUUGCUGUAAUCAUAGGAUAGAAGUCUCUAACUUUGGUGCCAUUUGUCAUUAUUCUGAUAUGGAUCUUAAUGUGGAUUUCCUACACUUAAAAUGCUAUGGUUCUCACUUUUCCUUUGGACAGAAAUCAAACUAUAAUGUGAUAUUAGACUUGAAAUGUUAAAGCCUGCUAAUGGUUCAUUUUUGUAAAUGCCUAGUCUUGCACAGCUUUAACAAAACUUCUUUGCAUAUUUCUGUAAAGUAAGGCUUGCUGGGUACCAGAUGACCUUCUGUUUGCCUGAAGAUAGAGUGUAAUGUUAGGUACUCUGCCUUUAAAAUUCUCUGAUUGAGGUGUCUUUGGUCUGCCUUUGGGAACCCCAAGUCUCAGGUAUAUAUCUGCUGGUAGUAUGUGAAUAAAUGCCUUUGCUUUCUUAAAAUUUAUUAAUGAUCAGAGAGGUGAAUCUCUGAGUGACCCACACCCAUAACACCAUGAUCCUGUAAGUAAUCAUAAUAACCUUCUUAGUUCAAUAAAUUAGACCUGUCUGGAUAA